rnacentral:tRNA from 1 species
UGGCGGGAUAGCUCAGUUGGUAGAGCGCGGGCCUCAUACGCCUGAUGUCGGUGGUUCAAAUCCACCUCCCGCAACCA